UUUUUUCAUUACAGGUGUGCUAAAAGAACACGAGAGAAAGAAAACUUAAAUACUUUAUCAACACCAAAGAAACAUCCAAGCAAUAAACUAAACAAGAUUUUUGAGAAGAUCAGAACUUUUUUAUUCUUAAAUUAAAAACAUGGGAAGAAAAACCCUUACCAGCAAGCUGAGAUCCAGGAACGCAUGCUCAAGAGAUAACAGAAAGAAAUGAAAUGGCCUCCUCAAUUUCAGCAGCAACUGUGGUUUUUUUCUGGCUUUACCAUAUUGCUAUUAUGAAUUGAAAGAAAAUUUUGGCACCAACUCUAAAGGGAAGAACCCCAACCAAAGAAAUUAUAGUAAAUGCUUUUUUUUUUUUUAAUUUUGAUGCUGGUACUAAACCUUCUCAGGUAUUUAAAGUCUUAAGAGGUCCACAGAUUUCACCAGACUACCAAAAGGAUUCAUGAUAAAAAGAGUUUAAGAACCCUGGCCUAUAAGAAUUAUAUUUUCAUUUUCAUUGGAGUGACACUGUUAAAAAUCCAUUUUCUUAUCCCUCAGUUUCUUUGUUUAUAAGACGAACAAAAAGAGAGCAUUGAUUAAAAGGAGGGUAAGGUAUGUGGAUGGGUGAAGGGGGAGAUACAUAAUACCCAGCAAGAAUUAAGUUACAGAUGUAAUUGGCCUUCAAGAUGUAUCUCUCCCCAUCUCCUACCUCAUAGCCAAAAACAAUAUUUAAAAAGAAAAACCAGUUUAACAAAGCCUCCAUCAAGCAAGAGCAACAGUUAAAGCAAUGUUCCAUUUUCUUAGCACCCCACUUCUACAAAGAAGGUAGAUGGGCAAAUUUUAUCAACUUUGUAAUUUGUAAUUCAGUCACUUUCAGUCAUGUCUGACUCUUGAUAACCCCAUUUGUGGUUUUCUCAGCAAAGAUACUGGAAUGACUUACUAUUUC
rnacentral:lncRNA from 1 species